UGAGUAGAUUACAUUUCUUAU
rnacentral:piRNA from 1 species